rnacentral:rRNA from 1 species
UACAGAGACUGCAAGCGUUGUUCGGAUUCAUUGGGCGUAAAGGGUCCGUAGGCGGUCGGUUAAGUCGGAUGUGAAAUCUCACAGCCUAACUGUGAACGGUCAUUCGAAACUAAUCGGCUAGAGGGCUGGAGAGGAGACUGGAAUUGUCGGUGUAGCGGUGAAAUGCGUAGAGAUCGACAAGAACACCGGUGGCGAAGGCGGGUCUCUGGACAGUUCCUGACGCUGGAGGAGC